UCCCAUGAGACACAAUUCUUCAUUUUUUGAUCUGCUGUCUGGACCUGGGACCCUGUUCCUGACUGGACUGACACAUGGAACUGUUCUUGAAUAUCUGCUGAAGGGAAAGGAAGAUGACCACAUGGAAGCUAUGUUAAAAGUCAAAAUGGAGAAACAUACCCAACUCCACAGAGAUGGGAUGCUUAUACGAGAUGAAGACAGAUGCCCAAGGAAUGAAGUGAGUUUUGAGUUUGCUUGUUAUAGGAUACCUGGAGCUGAAAAAGAGACAUCAGGACUGCUUUCAAAUGUACAAGUUGUGGAAUUUUCCACGAAUGCAGAUGAGUAAAUUGAGACUUAAAAGUCAAUUGGCUUGCUCAAGAUUAUAUAGUCAUUCAGUAUUGAGGGUACUAAAUCUUCAGUCAAUGAGUACAAUGCCAUUUGUGAGCACAAACAUUUGGAGGACUCUGCUUUUACCAGAGGAUUGUUCUAUUUGGAUAGGAUUUUGGAAGCAGUAUGAAGAUGAUUUACUGAUUUAG
rnacentral:lncRNA from 1 species